CCUACGGGUGGCAGCAGUGGGGAAUAUUGGACAAUGGGGGGAACCCUGAUCCAGCCAUGCCGCGUGUGUGAAGAAGGCCCUCGGGUUGUAAAGCACUUUCAGUGAGGAAGAACGCCUGGUGGUUAAUACCCAUCAGGAAAGACAUCACUCACAGAAGAAGCACCGGCUAACUCCGUGCCAGCAGCCGCGGUAAUACGGAGGGUGCGAGCGUUAAUCGGAAUUACUGGGCGUAAAGCGCGCGUAGGUGGCUUGAUAAGCCGGUUGUGAAAGCCCCGGGCUCAACCUGGGAACGGCAUCCGGAACUGUCAAGCUAGAGUGCAGGAGAGGAAGGUAGAAUUCCCGGUGUAGCGGUGAAAUGCGUAGAGAUCGGGAGGAAUACCAGUGGCGAAGGCGGCCUUCUAGACUGACACUGACACUGAGGUGCGAAAGCGUGGGUAGCAAACAGGAUUAGAUACCCUUGUAGUC
rnacentral:rRNA from 1 species